ACGAGCUCACCAAAAAUGCCAACGCCGCAGUGCACGAUGAAGCCGCGUGAUAAUUUGUCAAUUUCUGAGCCAGCCCCAGGGACAAUGAAACUGCAAGGAAAUUCCUAAUUUUCCCCCAAAUUUUAAAUAUUUAGCUGGCAAUUUUAUGUAUAAUCUUCAUUGUCCGAUGCGGAUUGCUGGAAAGUUGAACAUUUACAUGUAAAAAAGUUUGAAUGACUUCAACAAUUUCCUGUGUGGAGGACAGCACUUGUUCUUUUUGGUAUCACUUAUCUGCUUGUAAAAAUUAUACAGUUAUGAAAUAUUUGUCUGAAUUUUGAAUUUUUUUGCUUCA